CAGCGGCCCCUGGACGGCAUCGCUUGAGCGGCGGAGCCGGAGCGGACACCGGCGCCGAGCGCGCAGCCAAAAUGGAGGUGGUGCAGGACGGCAGCGGAGGGGCGCCGGCGCGGGGCUCGCACGAAACUCCCCACGCCGGCUGGGGAACAGAGCGGGCAGGAUCCCUCCGUGGAUUUUUCCAUUUCCACUUGAAGAACUUGCGAUUGCUGGGGAUACCUGUCAGGGUGCCAUAUAAGCAGUUCUUAGCAGCUGUAAGGCGAGGAGAGAGGAGCCCGAGAAGAGCCAGGUCUCAGCAGCAUCCGUCGUCAGGAGGCCGGGUGACACUUAAACACCCAUGAUUUGCAGUAUUGGUUUCAUUAAAUUCGUAAUGAAACGUC